AAUCAACGCUGGCGGCGUGCCUCAGACAUGCAAGUCGAACGAUUAAGACUUCCUUCGGGAAGUGUAUAAAGUGGCGCACGGGUGAGUAACACGUAAGUAAUCUACCUUCGAGUGGGGAAUAACGUUCGGAAACGAACGCUAAUACCGCAUAAUGCAACGGCAUCGCAAGAUGACAGUUGUUAAAGGAAUUUAUUUCGCUUGAAGAGGAGCUUGCGGCAGAUUAGCUAGUUGGUAAGGUAACGGCUUACCAAGGCUACGAUCUGUAUCCGGUCUAAGAGGACGGUCGGACACACUGACACUGAAUAACGGGUCAGACUCCUACGGGAGGCAGCAGUGGGGAAUAUUGCGCAAUGGGCGAAAGCCUGACGCAGCCACGCCGCGUGAGCGAUGAAGGUCUUCGGAUCGUAAAGCUCUGUGGGGGGAGAAGAAGAAAGCCGGUGAAGAGCCGGCCCUGACGGUAUCCCCUUAGCAAGCACCGGCUAACUCCGUGCCAGCAGCCGCGGUAAU
rnacentral:rRNA from 1 species